GACGAACGCUGGCGGCGUGCCUAAUACAUGCAAGUAGAACGCACAGUUUAUACCGUAGCUUGCUACACCAUAAACUGUGAGUUGCGAACGGGUGAGUAACGCGUAGGUAACCUGCCUGGUAGCGGGGGAUAACUAUUGGAAACGAUAGCUAAUACCGCAUAAUAUUGAUUAUUGCAUGAUAAUUGAUUGAAAGAUGCUAUUGCAUCACUACCAGAUGGACCUGCGUUGUAUUAGCUAGUAGGUGAGGUAACGGCUCACCUAGGCGACGAUACAUAGCCGACCUGAGAGGGUGAUCGGCCACACUGGGACUGAGACACGGCCCAGACUCCUACGGGAGGCAGCAGUAGGGAAUCUUCGGCAAUGGACGAAAGUCUGACCGAGCAACGCCGCGUGAGUGAAGAAGGUUUUCGGAUCGUAAAGCUCUGUUGUAAGAGAAGAACGGGUGUGAGAGUGGAAAGUUCACACAGUGACGGUAUCUUACCAGAAAGGGACGGCUAACUACGUG
rnacentral:rRNA from 1 species